GGGGUUGUAGCUCAGAGGUAGAGUGCCCGUCUAGCCUAUGUGAGGCACUGGGUUCAAUCCUCAGCACCACA
rnacentral:tRNA from 1 species